AAACUUUAAUUUACUGCACUUAACCUUUUAUGGAUGUUUUGCCCAAGCUAAAUGUGCUGACUCUUGGGAAGCAAGUAAGGAAAGCCCUAGAUUAAAUGUGUCCGUACUUCACUGCUUGUUAAUUGCUGUCUCAUUUCUCAAUUUUAAGGUAACUUUAAGAUUCUGAAAUAGUGUGUCAAUCUGCCAGCUUUGUAGCUUUGUACCCACAGUAUUCAUUAACACAGAUUAUGUAAAUCAUAAUUGCCUAAAACAGGCUGAUCGCUGCAACUCUGAGUUUCUGCUCUGUGUGACAUUAAAUGUAUAUUUGCAUUUAAUAUGCAUAGUGUUUUUUAAAUGCAAAUAGGAGCCACUGAGGGGGCUGGUUAUUAUCAGGAUCAUAGCAGGUGAGAAGGAAAAUUUAACCCUUUCCUCCUCUGCUACAGCCUCAAAGAUAAUCAUUCCUUUGAAAUUACUAUUUGCAUUGGGAGAAACCAGUAGCAACAUCACAUCCAACUUGACCUUAAGUAGCUCAUCCUUGAAGCAAACCUAUAAACAUAUUUACUCUGAGGUUAAUCUAUCAGUGCUCAGUGGGACUUUUGCUCUAGUCACUGUGCCUUAAAGUAUUUUCAUAGUGAGAAGCAGGUCCAGAGAUGGUUAUAAACUGUGUAAAUUAUGACACUCUCAUACACUAGACCUGCAUGCAACAGAAAUUUGAGCCUUGCCAGCAUGCCAUUAUGAAAUUAGUCAUGGCAUUGGUAUCUGUAUGGGCAGGGCUUAGAAUGAACUACUUUAUGGAUCUACGUGAGAUAAAUUACGGGAGAGCAUUACAAAGUUCACACAGAAAUAUAAACAACGUUCCUUUCAACUUGGAAACAACUCGGAGGUUAUUAAGAAGAAAAAGGAUAACGACAAGGAGAUGGGAAGAUGGGACUGUAAAUAUCAAAGCAGCAGAAAUAUAAGAUGAUUGGACCCCUACCGAACUCGAAGCAUGGGUACCCCCCACAAAAGAAUUAAAAUUCGGUUGAAUAUUUGGACUCUGUGAUAUGUAUUGGUAUAAUUUGGAAUAAUUAAUUAAUAUGAUGUGAUUGGUUUGGUAAAUAGAAAUAUAAUAAAAAUUAUUUUUUUUUAAAAAAAGAAUGAACUACUUUAAAGCUGUAAGUGGGUAGCAUCCAACAGAAUGAUAUUCAUAGUAGACCCACUGAAAUUGUUGACUCUAGUUCAUUGAUUCCAGGGGUUCAUAUUGUGUGCUAGAGGGAUCUGAUCCACACAUUCCAAGCACAACCAGUUUGAACUGCAGUUGGAACUGCAAGGUAGUUUUGGUCUCUUGGAGAGCUUUUCCCUCCCCUCCACUUUUGACAGAUUUCCUGCACAGAUUGGUACAAAAUUGAGCUGCCUUUUAAAAAUAUACCAGCCAGCUUUAUGAAGUCCAACUUGUUCAGUACUCAUUCAUGCCAUAUCUGUCACCAUAGCUGUCUGGGGUAACAAGGUAAUUAAAGCCUAAGGACAAAGCCGUAUUUCAUUAUUCAGAAAGAAGGGCCCGUCUAAUGAAUCCAAUUUGCUUAAAAUUGUGUCAGAAACAUUAGCCCAGAUUCUAAUCUCACUAGAUAACUUAUCUCUCUGUUGGAUCUUUUAUUCAGUCCUCAUUAUGGCACCCCCCCCCCAACAUUAUUCUUCUGACCUGCUUUUAUCAGCACUAUUCCUGAAAAUUGUCCCCUUGCUUCCUUUUAGCUUUCAGUCUGUGAAAACAUUGGAUUCAUUCCCCUUGCCACCUCUAUGGAUGUGGUAUGAGCAAUGCUUUUAAUCUUUAUACUGCUUACUUGAUAUGCAAGUGUAAAAUUAUAAAAAAAAAACAUAAUUAAAAUACACAAUUUCAUCAAAACAUGUAAACACCCAUAAUGAAGUGUACAAUAAAACAAACCCAUUUAAACAGUUAAGGCAAUUAGAUCAGGAAGUUGAAGUCAAGAGACCAGGGGCAUGGUUGUCUAAACAGAUAUAUCUUCAGGAGCCGGUGGAGUGCCAGUUCUGAUGGAGCCUCUCAUAUUUCAUCAGGGACAGCAAUUCGCAAGACAGCUGUUACCCUUGAAAAGAUUUGCCUCCGUGUUACCACAAGCCAAUAAUCACCAUACUGUAAGAAAACUUAUCUUUUAACACAGAAUGUUUAACACAGAAUGUUAAAAGAGCUUGCAGAUCAUGGCAGACCUGCAAGGCUAGAUGCAGAGUUGGCAUCCUUGACAGAUGGCUGUCGGCCUCCCCUUAAAUACCUACAGUGAAGAAGAGCCUUCCACUUCCUGAGCCAGUCUGUUGCUUACCUUAAGAAGUUUCUCUUAAUGUUUAACAUAAAUCUGUUUCCCUGCACAUUCCAACCAAGAAAUCCGGGGCAAAAAAGAGUGGAUCCUGCUGUACAUGCUGUGUUGUGACAUCACUAAACAGCAUUAGUUGAAAAGUUGGCAUGUAGUUGUAGAAUGGCCCAGGGGAGGGUUACAGCAGGAUAAAAUUCAUGAAGUGUGGCUGCCCUUUUUGUGUAUAUAAAUAAUCAUAAAGAAGAAAUGCAUCCCCUGACUUUCCAGUACUCUUUUUGGAGGAAUACAUUUGUAUAAUUUAUAAUAUUCUCUGCGUUUUGUUGUGACUAUGUUACACUGAUGUCAAAAUUGAUUGUAUUCUUUGCAGACCUGACCCAAAUAAAAAAAAAAAAAUCUCAAUAAAAUUUAUAUAUAUAUUCAUGUUUAGCAAGUGUGAUGCUAAUUCAGUAGGAUUCAAUCAGGCAGCAGCUGAUUUCCCCUUUUAGUCAGUUUUCUCAAAGCAAAGUGAGUUUAUUGCUAAGAGGUUGAAAUGUUAAGCUAUGCAGAUUAUCCGCAAAUCCUGCGAGAAAAGAUCAAAUUUGGAUUUACCUUGGAUUCUCCCUUGGGUGCAGACUCUAAAAGUCUGAGAAACCUAAUUGUGCUUCUUAUAUCCAAGGAAUUUGUGUGUGUGUUCUUAUUAAGGGGAAUUUCAUUUAUUCUGAGGGAAGUCUUCAUUUUUUUUUUGUUGUCUGUUCUGCACACAAGAAAACAGAGUAUGAACAAUCUGUAAGUGUAUUUGGAAGAAUUUGGCUUCAAGGGCUGUGUUUCUCUUCCCCACCCCAAAAGAGAAUCAGCAUGGUGUGGUAGUUAGGGUUAUACUGCGGUCUUGGAGAUGAGGGUAAAUAUCCCACUCAGCCCUGAAGGCCACCUGCCUAGCAGAUUUGGGGGGCCUUUGGUGGGCUGGAAAGUGGAAGACCCAUUGUGCAUGUACUGUAGAUUUCCAUGCACAGGCAGUUGAGUAUCAUUGGAUGUCACCCACAGAGUUUCUCUCUUAUAGGUGUGUACACACAUCUGGAAACUCUGAUUUAAUUAGGGUGUAGCACAGAUGUAUUUUCCAAUAAUAGUGUUUUAAGUGCAAUGUGCAGAGUUACCCUUCAUGUAGAAUGCAGCAGUGCCAUUUUUGUAUUACAUAUUCAUCAAUGGGGAUAACUGUUUUUUGAUUUGUCUGCUUCGUCUUGCAAUGUUAUUUUAAAGGUCCUUAUUUUUUCAGAACAAAACAAAUCCUUACAUACUUCUGAGUAGUGAUCACUAGUUCAGUGAAGCUCUCCAACUGUGUGUGUGGUAAAUAUUCACUUAUUUCCUUCCACUGCAAUAAUUUUUGCGGGAUGAAAUAUCCGGAUGUGAUGUGUGUGUUUCUUGAAUGUGCAUUUAUAAGAGAUCACAGGAUAAAUGGACUUCAAAUAACUAAAACUGAGUGAUACACCACAAACCCCUCAUCUGGUGUAUCUCACAGCUGAGUUUUGUCUAAGUAAUUUUGCCUUAAUUGCACAAGUUUUCUACAGAGACCUUAAACAUUAGUUGGACCACAUCUUGUUCUCAUCUUGGGAAAAGUCAGACCACUGUUUUUCUCAGGAAAGGAACCUUAUGAUGAAGAUCUGUGUAACACUGUUUUCUUGAGUGAGGUUAUAUGGAGUCUCUUGGCUCUUUGCCUUUUAUAAAUUUGCUAAACCCCUGGCCCCAAUCGCAAUGUGUAUUUUGACAAUUGUAAGGUUGGACUGAGGUUAAUGAGUUGGUUCUACAGAUAACAUCAGAUUCCAGAGACGUCAAGUUUGUUUUGCAUUCAGUGACAGUCAUUAAAUCAAAGGAAGGAGCCUUCUUAAAAGAAACACACUUGAGGAAAAGAGGUUUAAAAAAAUAAAAAUGGUGUAUUCCUGCUAAUAGCCACUCACUGCAUAUAACCCCACUGACAUUAAAAGUCCAUUAGCUAAGCCCAGUUUAAACAGCAGCUGAUGCUAUGUCAGCUAAAUGUACAUUGGAAUUUUCACAUAAUGCACAAAUGGGACAUCUGUAAUUUUUCUAAAACAAUGUACAUUAUAGGAAAUCAAAUAUCAUCUGGUAGAAGUAGAUAUGUAAGAGCAAAGUACCUGUAAUCAGCCAAACCAAUAAGAAGCAGAAGAAAGCAGAGAUGUAACUAAAAAGACCUCAAAGUUAAUGAAAGCCAAGCUCAUCUGACAGUGCAGCCUUGUCUCUUCAAAUGUGUGUCUCAUUGAAUUGCAUUAGUCUUAUUUUCAGGUAAACGUGUGUGGGAAUAAAGCCUCAGUUGUUUGGGGAGAAGUGUACUGGGAACUUUCAAUAACAUGUAAAGUCUUUGUAUGCAAUUUUUCACGAUCACAGUGUGUGAGAGAGUGUGCAUCAUUGGUGUUUAUGGAUGCAUGCAGUUACUCACAUUGCAUGAAUUUAUACAGUGUCAUUAGUAGAGGUGGCAUAUGUGACAACAUAAGCAAAAAUACAGGCCCCACCCCGAAGACAGUAAGGAUCUUCUAGUUUUGCAGUAGGGCAAGAUCAUCUCUGCCAGGAAAAAAUCUGCCCCAUGAACUGAUAUCAGUUGGCCAGAUAAAUUGUUGGGCCUUUUGUGGGCAGCGGUGUCCCCGGUGACAGCAGAGACACAAAAGGAGUCUAGCCCCUUUGGGAGGGGGAGUGCAAGGGGCAAGGACCCAUCUUCAGAUAUUUUAGCCAACAGAUUUAUUUCCAAUGGCUUGGGAACUGUUUGUGGUUUUGUUUCUUGGUGGCUUGAUGAGGGGUGAUGGGGUUUUUUUUGCUGAGGCAGAUGCGGAGAGUUUUCUGGUGGUGGAUUGUGUGUGGGCCCAAUGGGGUAAACAUGAUUCACAACUGAGGUUUGGAUAGUUGAACAGAUAACUGAAGUCUCUGGCAUGUUCUGACUAUUCUUCCAACCAAAUAUUUGUUGUCUUGCCCUUGAGUCUCUGCUUGUAGAUGCCAGGUCAGUUUAUAAUACAGAACCAUUCUGUAUAACCAAGACCUGGGUGGGGAAGCAGGCGGAGGGUUAGUCUUUACCAGCUCUGCCUACCCAGGUAUUUGGUUCAGCACAAGAGUCCACAUUUAAGACUGGGCUGCUAUGGUCUACAAAGAUACCAUAUUCCUCUACAGGUUUCCUAUUCAUCUAGGUGUCAGUUUGUUGGGCCAGCGGCAUAGAUUCACAGGCUUUCGACAGUUCAAAACAUGCUCAAGUCAGCUUACAAAAUGUAAAAUAUACAUAACUAUGACAUAACAAAAGUAGUUAUAAACAAUAAAUGAAACUUUAAAAAAACACACAACCCAAACAAGCAACUUCCAC